rnacentral:rRNA from 1 species
GGCAGCUACCAUGCAGUCGAACGGCAGCACAGAGGAGCUUGCUCCUUGGGUGGCGAGUGGCGGACGGGUGAGGAAAACGUCGGAAUCUGCCUAUUUGUGGGGGAUAACGUAGGGAAACUUACGCUAAUACCGCAUACGACCUACGGGUGAAAGCGGAGGACCUUCGGGCUUCGCGCAGAUAGAUGAGCCGACGUCGGAUUAGCUAGUUGGCGGGGUAAAGGCCCACCAAGGCGACGAUCCGUAGCUGGUCUGAGAGGAUGAUCAGCCACACUGGAACUGAGACACGGUCCAGACUCCUACGGGAGGCAGCAGUGGGGAAUAUUGGACAAUGGGCGCAAGCCUGAUCCAGCCAUGCCGCGUGUGUGAAGAAGGCCUUCGGGUUGUAAAGCACUUUUGUCCGGAAAGAAAAGCACCGGGUUAAUACCCUGGUGUCAUGACGGUACCGGAAGAAUAAACACCGGCUAACUUCGUGCCAGCAGCCGCGGUAAUACGAAGGGUGCAAGCGUUACUCGGAAUUACUGGGCGUAAAGCGUGCGUAGGCGGUUUGUUAAGUCUGAUGUGAAAGCCCUGGGCUCAACCUGGGAAUGGCAUUGGAUACUGGCAAUCUAGAAUGUGGUAGAGGGUGGCGGAAUUCCCGGUGUAGCAGUGAAAUGCGUAGAUAUCGGGAGGAACAUCCGUGGCGAAGGCGGCCACCUGGACCAACAUUGACGCUGAGGCACGAAAGCGUGGGGAGCAAACAGGAUUAGAUACCCUGGUAGUCCACGCCCUAAACGAUGCGAACUGGAUGUUGGGCUCAAUUGAGAGCUCAGUAUCGAAGCUAACGCGUUAAGUUCGCCGCCUGGGAAGUACGGUCGCAAGACUGAAACUCAAAGGAAUUGACGGGGGCCCGCACAAGCGGUGGAGUAUGUGGUUUAAUUCGAUGCAACGCGAAGACCUUACCUGGCCUUGAC